CUAAUAAGCACCACGCCCGUUGACAAGAAAAGUGUCUUAUUUGAUCCGCAACUUCCGUGUCCUUCUGCCUGAUACCUAAAGUAUCAAAGGCCGGCCAUGGAACAGUACUUGAAGCUCAUUCCUUCCAAUGCAUCGUUACUCUCUGCCUACUCAUCUAUCUCAACAUCCUGGGUACUGGGUACUCUUCAAGACUGCUUAUAAUCAGGUCAUACCAAAACAGCUUCAAGAUUAUGCAGUCUCAAAAUUCAAGUCCUGCUUCUAUCAUAACCCAUCUUUUGCCACUUUCAUCAUCGAAGACAUGUGGUGUGGACUUGGCCGUAAUCAGCUUUAUGAUGCUGCAAGAGCUUACUUAUCUACCAAGAUUGGACCCGAGAAUCGUAAAAUCAAAAUUGGCAAGUUAGAGCAGCACAAGAAUGUGUCUGCUGCCAUUGUAGGAGGAGGAAAGAUUGUAGAUGUAUUCCAGGACAUAACCAUUACAUGGUGGUGUGUCCAAGAAGAAGAAGGCACCACCCGUACCAACACCAAGAUAAGCAAAGCCACAGAUAAUCUGGUAAUCCCUCCUCAGGCUCCUAGUACAAGUGCUUAUAAGAUAACUUUCGAUAACAAAUAUCGGGCAAUAGUUCAGAAUGAUUAUUUGAUCCAUGUUUUGAACACUUACAAGG
rnacentral:misc_RNA from 1 species